GGCGAGCAUCUAGAUCUGUUUUGAUCCGCACGAAAAAAGAACCGAAAGAGAGGAAACUUAGUGAUGCACACGAUAGUGAGAGCCGGAGAAGAAGAUCGGAAAACGGCGGUUGAUUAUGUGAUUUUGUGGACCGGCGACUCCUUUUGGCAUGAUUUCAUCAUAUAUAUAUAAGAUCUGAGCUCACAACGCGUACCACAGUGAUGAGUGGCGCUUCCGAUGAUGGUGCAUAUGAGCAUCGGUGACAAUGCAU
rnacentral:lncRNA from 1 species